UUCUUCCUGAACACCAGUGACCAAGAGCUUGGUUGAAUCCCAUAAGAUCCAAAUUCGACCAUUUAUGGCACUGCUAUAGUUAGCAAGCAUACCCCAGUUAGGUAGUAAAACUCCAGAUAUUUUUGCUGCAUUAUUCUGUUUAACUUUAGUUUCUACUAGACCAACAAGGUCAAAAUUAUUGACUCUAAAGUAUUCUUUAACUUCCUUCUGUUUGAACCUUUUAUUUACACCCCUAAUGUUCCAAAAUAUCCACUUCAUUGGGUAUAACUUGUUCCCCCUUCUUCUAAGGGGUGAUCUGCCCAACUUACUGACCCUAUUUCAAAUCGAUUUGACAUCACAACAGGAGACAAGGGUGGAAAGUUUUUGGUGUUAAAAACUGGGGCUGAAUUAAUAUCAAUACCCUUCUGUUUUCUCACUUCCUCAAAUGUUGUCACAGUGGUGCAUUGUUCUUUCUGCUUUGGCUGCUGGUGCUUGUCAUGAGUUGGAGAUGCAGGUGUACCACUAUCCUCAAAAGUAGCCUCAGUAGUAAACUUAUCCUUCUGAGCUGGCUGCUUAUCCUGACUAGGCUGAAUUGGUCCCUUUGCUCUCCAUUCCUGAAUUACCUUUGGC
rnacentral:lncRNA from 1 species